UACGGGGGGGGGUAAGCGUUGUUCGGAAUUACUGGGCGUAAAGGGCUCGUAGGCGCCAACUAAGUCGGACGUGAAAUCCCUCAGCUUAACUGGGGAACUGCGUCCGAUACUGGAUGGCUUGGAUUUGGGAGAGGGAUGCGGAAUUCCAGGUGUAGCGGUGAAAUGCGUAGAUAUCUGGAGGAACACCGGUGGCGAAGGCGGCAUCCUGGACCAACAUUGACGCUGAGGAGCGAAAGCUAGGGGAGCAAACGGG
rnacentral:rRNA from 1 species